UGUAUAAUAUCACCUUUCUUCUCUGAAGGGCGCUGAGAAGUCACCUUAAGCAAAGCAGUUACCUGUCUCUCAUCCAAACUCUUUUGAGUACCUUUGUCCCUUAACAAUUUUACAGACCUGAAUGCAAUUAUAGCCUAUUAGAUGCAUGUAACUGCAGUAAUUUUCAGAAAACAAUUAACUACCCCACUGUUAUAAAAUUUUCACGAGUAUAAAUUAUAUCCCACUAUUAGAAGCAGGCAACUCCCUCAGAACAAUGUGAAGAACCUGAAGGGCCUUCUGGGGUGCAUCAGCUAUCCUCCCUUGCAAAAAGAGACCUAAAUUUUACAGGUCAGCAUGUGCAGCGAAUUCGAUCACGACUCUGAACUUCCUUCCCCUACGUUUGCUACAAGAAGAAAGCCAUCAUCCUAUACAUUGUUAAAGUAGACUAGGAAAAUAGAAGAAAGUUGCAACUAAAAAUACAAGCAAUCACUACGUACGGUUUGAAAGGUGGGAGUCCAUGUCCCUCAUCAUCAUCCAGAGGAGUGAUUUUAAAUUCCUUUGACUGCAAAGGAAGAGGUCCAGCAGUAUACAGGAUCUUCCUCCCAUCAUAAGCAGGAAGCCACAUUGAAAGAUGGGAGUCCCUGCACAGUUUCACCAGCUGAAACAUCACAGCACGGUUUACACAGCAUGAUGUGACUUCUGGUGUAAAAGUAACCUAAUACGAAGUAACCAAAGAUAUUUACCAUUGAUACUAUCACCAUGUAAAGUCAGUACCAAUAAACACAUAGGGCAAGAGAGCUGACAUCAUAUUGGUGCAGACCCUUGUCUGGUAAUACAGCACAGAACUGGUUUGCCUUGACUGUACACCUUUUUCCAGUCUUAACCUUGCUAGAGACUGCCCCAUGUUGAAUGGCCUCACUAAGAUCUUCCUCUUGCAGGAUGGAAACUUGCUGAAACUGCUCUGCCACUUCUGAAGGCUCAGGUGGCUGAGAUGAGGAGCAUGCUUCAUAUCUAGGCUGAGGGGCAAUUUCAGCUUGGUAAGGAUCUGGAAAUGCUUGUUGCUGCUCGGAAACUUGUUUUUCCCGGUUGAUGGAGGUAGUAAUCUCUUCUUCUGUGAGUGUGAUAUCCUUCCACUCUAUCAAAACAGAAUAAGAGAUCACUUAAAAGUGAAAUGCAAAAUAAAUGAGGAUCACGAUUUAUUAAAAUUCCAGAGGAAAAGAACAAAUGCAAUAAACUUACGCCGUGAAGCAUAAUUGAAUAUGGAACGGCCCAGAAUCCCCGAUAUCCACCUCACAAUGCAUUGAACUUAUGAAAUUGAUUUUGCUUCCUCCUACAAUUUGAAAUUUGGUGAUAGAAAGACGUUGACAACCGUCAACUUCGUCGUCAAAGCCACUCUGGACAAGAUAAAAGACCAAGUUCCCUAGAAGAACUAAAUGCUGAUCACUUCUCCAGUUGAUGAACUGUGGAAAAUCGAACUUUAAGAAUGAGCAUAUUGAAGAGAGCCUCUUCGGCGCACCCGGGUGCGCGGCGCACCCGUCAUCUCCACCGUUAAUUUUUUUUUUUUUUUUUGACGGGUUAAAAUGGACGGUGGAUACACUCGUGUGCGCUGUAUAAUUUUCACAUAUUGAAUAACUAAUAUGCCCUUCCUCAUUUUGGUUGCUCGUAAUAGAAAAUGCGACAACAGCCAUGUCCAAUUUGGAUAAGGCAUAGAUAGUCUGGUCCACAACCACAGCCCUUCUUCGGAAAUAGCAAUCUGUAUUCUCCACUUGGACUGGACACCACUUAUUUUUAAUUACAUUAUAAGCCCACAGUGCGCCGUCAUUAUCCUUCCGGCCACAUAUACUAAACAGUAAGACUUCAUCACAAACGGCAUAACCCUGUAUCUCUGUAGUACCAUAUUCAUCAGAAUAUGGAUAAGAGCACAGCGGCUGCCAAGAGUCAGCAAUAGGGUCAUACUCCUCAAAGGACGGUUCUGGUACAUCACAUGAGCAAUAUGGAUCCGAAAGAGAGUAAAUUUUCCCAUAUGCAGACACAUGAGUUCCAAACCAUUUGGGAGCUGGCCUUUUAAUUGAUGACACCAGUUUCCCAGUUUUGAUGUCGAGAACACGUCCAUCGCAUUUGGGGAAACACACAUCCUCGUCAAAGAAAUCGGGACCACCAUCUGGCAAAAUAUACAACUUGGCACCCAAAAUACAAAAUUUCCACAUUCCCUAACCCAAAUCCUCUGCAGUGAAUCGUGAUACAGUUUGAACUACUGGUUGGGUUUCAUGAGUCCCUGCACCGUCAUUACCUUGUCCAUCUAAUUUUACUUCAUAUAAUGCACCAAAGUAGGUGCCCUCAAGAUGAGUCACCAAUACAAAGACAGAACUUCUUUCUGCCUGCUUUCGCAUCCUCAAAUACUCUGAACACAGAAAAACACCUGUAAAGACAUGUCUUUUUUUUUCGUAAGAGCAAACAGAAAUUACAAGUAACUCUACUGGUAAUAAAAUAAAUGGAAGCGCCACCCAGGUAGGCUGGGUUCCAAAUAUAUACAACACUAAACACCGGAAUGAAGAAUGCAAAGCUCCAAAGAACUCUAAAGUUUUUUGUGUAGAGCUGUAAUUCCCACUGUUGCGACUAGCUUAUAGCAUCCAACUGACAUUGAAAACUG
rnacentral:lncRNA from 1 species